rnacentral:lncRNA from 10 species
GGCAGCGGCUUCUUGUAGUCCUCUAGGCAGAUGGGCUUGUAGCCGAUGCCCUUACACAGCGGCACGGUGAUCUCUUGGCAUGCCAGCUCCUUGGCCGAGGCGGCCGCAGCGCCGCUAGAGCGCUGCAGCAGCGCCAAGGCGGCCAGCAGCGAGGUCACUUCCAACAGGUAACCCCACUCCAUGCUGUGCGCCUCGGCCCGGUGCCCUCGCCCUCCAGGCGGCGCGCAGAGGGGUGCCGGGGGGGGGGCCCACGAGAGAGCCGCAGACGGGUACAGCGGGUGAUCUGGGGUCUCCCUUAUGCUUCGCCCGGGAGGGGGGUCUGCCGAUAAUCUAACCCCUUCUAGGGGCGCGUCCGCAGCGGCGCGGCCCGCAGCCUGGGCAGGGCCCUUCCGCACUCCUUUCCGCCGCUCCGGGGGUUUGAAGGCGGCUGCAGGCGCGCGCCACAGUCCGUAGGUCCGCUCUGCUGGCCCCGGGUCGCGCUCAGCCCUCUUGGGGACCCGCCUCGGCCCAGGCCGCCGCCCUCUUUCUCCGGCGUCCGUCCUUCGUCCGUCCGCCGCCGGGACAGACGGACCCCCGCCGCCUGGAAAAGUCAGCGCCGCGCUCCGGCCGCAGUCGGGCGAGGUGCACACAGUCUCCUUCCUGCUGGACACCCAGGAGCAAAUCCAGACCGGAAGGCGGAGCGGACACCUGAGUGGCGCGGCCCGCGCCCAGCCGCCGCCUCCUCCUCGGCGGGAGCAGCGCCCUUAGCCCAACUUCCCGGCUCCAGCCCCGCUCGCGCCGCGCU